rnacentral:lncRNA from 10 species
AACACGGUGACGCCCCAAAACUCGAGACACCAGCAACAAUGGAGCCCCAAGUGGUGGGGGGAUGUGCUAGAGUUCUCUCACGCCUGCCGCGCACAGCUCAGCGAGCCAUGGGUGGGGGAUUACAUGUUUCAGCUAGUUUACUGCCGCCACCUCGCUCUGGAGGGCUGCUUCCGGGCUGGCUCAGCCCUGCCGCCACUUCCGGUCACAUGGGGCAGCUGCCGGACACCAGGAGACGAUGGAAGGUCUAUAGUGUUACAGCUCUGACCCAGGAAGUCCCAGGGUCUUGCCUUCCAGAAGGGUCGCGGCUCUUCCCUCCCUCAGUCCAACGAACAGGAGCACGUCACCUCCCGCAGCUCGGGGAGCUGGCCAGGAACGUGUUACAGCCCGUUUCGCUCCUGUCCGCAGCUGGGUGAGGCAGCCAGGAAAAUAUUACAGCUCUUCUCACGCCCGCCAUUCAGCAGGUCCUGACUUCUUGUGUGACAUCCAGAAGAAAGGGGUUACACAGACAGCUGGAGGGUGAGCAAAGUGGAGAAGUUCUCAGCAGAGAGGAGACUGGAGUGAGUUGCCCCUACCCGCAGGUGCCAACUGUAAUACAUCAGUAGCUGAACAGCUCAUUGCCCUCAAGUGUUCUUGCUCAUGCCUGGCUGAGUUAUUGAAGAAAUUGCUCAGAUCUCAAGCCCUUGUAGAUCACUGGUCCUGGCAGAUGUUUUCGAACUAUAAAGUAUACCUAUUCCUCAAGAACAAACCGAACACAAACCUGGGAGAAAAAAGAAAGACUGAAGUGGAACUAAAUAAUAUUGAAACCAACAAGCAAUACAAGAAACCAGCAAAGAGUACAUAGAACAAACAUUUUUUUUAGAAGGAUUAAAUGGGACAAUUAAACAAUUUGAUCAGCAUAAUGUCCAGCUCAAGGAUCUUGGAGGUGGUGAGGCAGCCCAAGUGGAAAGGCAGCAGAAGGGGUAUCCUUGUUUUACCAAUUACUCAUAUGUAGGAGAUGGUGCAUUAAAUGAAAUAUUCUCUGCUCUCUCCUAACAUCUACCCCCUCACACCAAGAGGAAGGCAUGUCGCCUGAACCUUUGCAGUAUUCAAUUAAAGUUCUAUUCACACGGUAUUGCAGUUGUUUGCUUAUCUUUCUUUCUUAUUAGACUUAAAACUUCUGGAAACUAGAGGCUAUAUUACUUAUUUGCCUCAGAGUCCUGUUGGCCUAUCAAAUGGCACACCUUCAAUCCAAGAAUGAAUUAAUUAAAUAAAUGUGAAGAAAAAAAAAAUCCAAGUUGCUUAUUUUUGUUAAAUUUAUUUUUCCCCAAAAUAUUUACUGAGAAAAUGACUCUGGGAAGAUAGCAGAGUGGAAAGCCCCAGAAAUGUGUUUCCCCACCUAGACAACAACUGUACUGGCAGAAUCUGUUUGAUGUGACUAUUCUGAAGUUCUGAAUUGAAUAAAUAUGAAGAAAAUACAAA